GCAAAGGCCAGGAUCCAGGACGGAACCCGGUGCCGCCCAGCGCAGCGGCUGCCAGAGCACGCUGGCUCCGCGCAGUUGCUGCCGGGCGCUGCUGCGCUGGGCCAGGUCUCGGCACAGAACAGCGCUGGGGAGGGGGCCAGGCAGAGGAGGAGGGGCACGGCGGGGAGGAGCGGGCGGGCAGGGAGAAAGCAGCGGGAUGAGCCCGGGGGAGGGAGGGGAGGAAGGAGCGAGGCAGCUCCUGGGAAGAGGGAGGAGGAGAAGAGAGACUCUUGUAGGGGAGCGGGAUCGGGGUGAGGAGAGAAGGAAAAGCCGCUCCCGGAGAAGGGCCUGGAGAGGAGCGGCGCUGCUCGCAGGCAUCCGACUUGUAGAAGGCAUCGGUCGAGGGCCAAGGGCUGCGCCCGGGGCCAGCGGACAAAGCGGCGGUGGGCGCAGAGCGAGAGGGACCUGGCGCUGGCCCAUCGAGGCGGUGUCACUUACACCGGGAAAAUGGUCUUUGUCCAAGUUUCCUGAUGCCGGGAGAGCGGCCGGCAUGGCUCUAGCGGGAAGGGCUCCUGCUAAAACUACAUGAGCGAUGCUGGGAAGUGGAGGGGGUGUUGCUGGAGCCCUGCAGAAGGAGCUCGAAUCACCCAAACCUCAAGCCUUGUGCUGAAAGAAGAUGACAAAGCUACUCUAACAUGCAGUCAAAAUGAUAACCACCCUUCUAUGUACUGGUAUCUGCAGCAGCCAGGGAAGGGGCUGCAAUUGAUCUAUUAUUCUAUAGGUGUAAAUCAGCAAUUUGAGGGUGACUUUCACAUUGGAUACAAAGCUCAACGGCCAAACCUCUCAGACUUCUCUUUGGAUAUUUUCUCUGUGAAGAUGAACUAUUCCGCUGUCUAUUUCUGUGCCAGCAGUUUGAACACAGCCCUUCAAAGUCACUUCCUUUCUUUACAUAAACUUCUCUCCUUCUCAGUGCUUUCUCUCAGAAGGGAGCCGCUCUCAGCACAGGAAGAGGGUAUGUAGGCCAAUAGCCUGUUCACAAACCAGAUGUUGCCAGGGAGCUGGAACAAGAGAGGUGGAACAGGUCUUUGAAGUGCAGGUUAAUUGCUGAACUCGGCUUUCCUCAUCACUGUGUGUUCUCUAUCUCAUCAGAGCAAUCAAUAAAGAUUGUUAACCAAAAGCAGACAUAAAAUAAAGGAAAUAGAACCUGCAAAGAUACAAGAAUAGAAGCUAAGCAGGAGUAACAUGCCACAGAUGAGAUUAAAAUGACAGAAGGGGAGCCAUUACCGUGGUCUGCAAGUGCAUAGACACAGUCCUGAGAAGUUACACACGUGUGGAGGCUGUAGAGAGGAAAGAGAGAAUGUACAAAAUAGUAUGCAACUUAGAAUGAAUUCACAUUCAGGAAAAAUAACAUGUAGAUUGCUAUUUAUUCAGACAUUGCUCUGAUCACAAGUUCUAUGGGCCCAUGUGAUCAUGGUGCCAUCAAAAGGAGGGAGUGAAGGUCCUGAGUGGCAGCAACUGGCGUGGAUGCCACAGGUCCAAGGGGCCAGCAACUGGAAACAUGAGCAGCGUGCCCUAGAGAAGAAGAAUUCAAAACAUUAACUCAUAUUUGGCAAGUGAAGGGAAAGACCUUGGCCACAUUUUAACAACCAGACUGCAUGGCCAGCACACAACAUCCUUGUGGACACCUUUAGUGCUCUUCUGGAGGUGCGUGUGUCAUUAUCAUGAAAUAAACAUCUUGUAAUUUUA